rnacentral:rRNA from 1 species
GAUCCUGCCGGAGGCUACCGCUAUUGGAGUUCGAUUAAGCCAUGCGAGUCGAGAGUCUUAGGGACUCGGCGUACCGCUCAGUAACACGUGGGUAACCUGCCCUAUGCUGGGGAAUAACCUCGGGAAACUGAGAAUAAUGCCCCAUAGUCCACAAUGCCUGGAACGGUUUGUGGAUUAAAGCUCCGGCGGCAUAGGAUGGGCCUGCGGCGUAUCAGGUCGUAGGGGGUGUAACGUACCCUCUAGCCAUCGACGCGUACGGGUGUUGGGAGACAUAGCCCGGAGAUGGAUUCUGGGACACGAAUCCAGACCCUACGGGGUGCAGCAGGCGCGAAAACUUGGCAAUGCGAGAAAUCGUGACCAGGGAACUCCAAGUGGCUGGGGUAAGACCCAGUCUUUUCUUGACUCUUCAAAGGUCUUGGAAUAAGGGGUGGGUAAGGACGGUGCCAGCCGCCGCGGUAAUACCGGCGCCUCAAGUGGUAGUCGAUUUUAUUGGGCCUAAAACGUCCGUAGCCUGUUUGGUACAUUCGUGGGUAAAUCAACCAGCUCAACUGAUUGAAUUCUGCGAGCACGGCCAGACUUGGGACCGGGAGAGGUGUGGGGU